CUGAUGGGAGCUUGCUCCCUGAUGUUAGCGGCGGACGGGUGAGUAACACGUGAGCAACCUGCCUGUAAGACUGGGAUAACUCCGGGAAACCGGGGCUAAUACCGGAUAACCCGUUCCACCUCAUGGUGGAGCGGUAAAAGAUGGCCUCUGGCUAUCACUUACAGAUGGGCCCGCGGCGCAUUAGCUAGUUGGUAAGGUAACGGCUUACCAAGGCGACGAUGCGUAGCCGACCUGAGAGGGUGAUCGGCCACACUGGGACUGAGACACGGCCCAGACUCCUACGGGAGGCAGCAGUAGGGAAUCUUCCGCAAUGGACGAAAGUCUGACGGAGCAACGCCGCGUGAGUGAUGAAGGUUUUCGGAUCGUAAAGCUCUGUUGUUAGGGAAGAACAAGUGCCGUUUGAAUAAGGCGGCACCUUGACGGUACCUAACCAGAAAGCCACGGCUAACUACGUGCCAGCAGCCGCGGUAAUACGUAGGUGGCAAGCGUUGUCCGGAAUUAUUGGGCGUAAAGCGCGCGCAGGCGGUCUCUUAAGUCUGAUGUGAAAGCCCACGGCUCAACCGUGGAGGGUCAUUGGAAACUUGGGAGACUUGAGUACAGAAGAAGAGAGUGGAAUUCCACGUGUAGCGGUGAAAUGCGUAG
rnacentral:rRNA from 1 species